UACAGAGGGUGCGAGCGUUAAUCGGAAUUACUGGGCGUAAAGCGCACGUAGGCGGCUUGGUAUGUCGGGUGUGAAAUCCCCGGGCUCAACCUGGGAACUGCAUCCGAAACUGCCUUGCUCGAGUAUGGGAGAGGGAAGUGGAAUUCCACGUGUAGCGGUGAAAUGCGUAGAGAUGUGGAGGAACACCGAUGGCGAAGGCAGCCUCCUGGGCCAACACUGACGCUCAUGCACGAAAGCGUGGGGAGCAAACAGG
rnacentral:rRNA from 1 species